rnacentral:rRNA from 1 species
AUGGCUCAGGCCUACUACCAAACCGCUCCUGUCCAGUGUCCUCUCCAGCGAACCGAGCUUUACAUGCACCUCUUCUUGCGCCAAGCUGCUGCUGGACCAAACCGUAACCAAAGCGAAAUACUCAACCCAAAAGUGCAACCUAGCGGGUUUGGUGUGACCGCGGCUAGCGAUUGGACCAUAGCUGACAGGCUCGAGCCUAGCGCAAAGAUUGUCGCCCGUGCAAAGGGCUUCCACAUGCAGACCGGCAUUACCAAUACCAGCUGGUACACUUCCUUCAACAUGGUGUUUGAGGAUGAAAGGUUUAGCGGGUCUACUCUCCAAGUGAUGGGGCUUACUCCAUCAGAUGGUCAGUGGGCCAUUUCUGGUGGAACUGGAGAAUUUGCUUUGGCACAUGGUAUCAUCAAGCAGAAAGUAGUCCAGGGUAAUGCAGAUGAAAAUGUUAAAGAACUUCAUGUGCAUGCGUUCUACACUAAAAUGAACACUUCAGUGGUUCCUGGUGCAACUGAUGGAAAGUCCUGGACACUCGGAGCUUGA